rnacentral:rRNA from 1 species
GUGAGGAAUCUUCCACAAUGGGCGAAAGCCUGAUGGAGCAACGCCGCGUGAAGGAUGAAGGUCUUCGGAUUGUAAACUUCUUUUAUGAGUGAAGAAUAUGACGGUAACUCAUGAAUAAGCACCGGCUAACUACGUGCCAGCAGCCGCGGUCAUACGUAGGGUGCAAGCAUUAUCCGGAGUGACUGGGCGUAAAGAGUUGCGUAGGCGGUUAUGUAAGCGAAUAGUGAAACCUGGUGGCUCAACCACACAGACUAUUAUUCGAACUGCAUAACUAGAGAAUGGUAGAGGUAACUGGAAUUUCUUGUGUAGGAGUGAAAUCCGUAGAUAUAAGAAGGAACACCAAUGGCGUAGGCAGGUUACUGGGCCAUUUCUGACGCUAAGGCACGAAAGCGUGGGGAGCGAACCGGAUUAGAAACCCCGGUAGUCC